ACGCGGUCUGUGGGAGACCGGAGCGGGAGACAGCGGUGACAGGAGCAGCGGCCGGGAGCCCUUAGGGAGGCAGACAGAGCCUGCAGCCAAUGCCCCAGGAGCCCUCGGUUCCAACCAACUGAUGCCCCUGUGCCCACUGGCCCACGCCAUGCAGCCCCAGUCCGUUCUGCACAGCGGCUACUUCCACCCACUACUUCGGGCCUGGCAGACAGCCACCACCACCCUCAAUGCCUCCAACCUCAUCUACCCCAUCUUUGUCACGUGAGUCUCCAAGAAUGGGCCAGGCCUCUGCUCUGCUGGUUGGGGUUGGGGUUGGGGAGGGAGUGUUGACUGGAGCGGGCAUCAGUAUGGCUGGGGGUGGCAAAGUGAGCUGUCAGCUUGAAAUUCAAGGCACUGGAAGCAGGCUACUUGGAUUAAGGACAGGAAUCUUAGGAACAAAACAAACUUUGAAAGAACUCAUUCAUCCCAUUUGGAAAAUUAGAAGAAUAACCCUUGCCUGCCAUCCUGAGCUCUUGCAGUAAGACAGAAGCUGAGAAGGUGCUCUGUA
rnacentral:lncRNA from 10 species